UCCCUUUGGUUGAAAACUACAUUCUUCACUUCUCUCUUGGAACAAAAAACAUCUUCAAGUUAUUUAACAUAUAACUGAAUGACUUUAGAGAUUGUAUAUUUCCACGCAAAGUGAGGAAAGAUCUCAUUGGCUCUCUGCUUGCUAGAAUGUGACAAAAUAAUUACUCUGUAUUGAAUAAGGAUGUGUUUUGUUAAAAAAUUCCAUUAUUUCCAUGGUAAUAAAGUAGAAAGAUUUUAUAUGGGUUUCUACUAUGUCUUUUAAAAAUUCUAUUUCUGCACUGAGUGUUAUUUUUAUACUCACUGAAGAAACUGAAAUUGCACUUUAAGAUUUAAGGGAAAUGUUAAACAGGAACGAUUUUCUAAAAACAAGGUGAUACUCUACACUUUGCACAUGGCACUUUGAAUGUAAAAUGUUUUUCUAGAAGUGAAGAACGGGUAUUUGCUGGGGAGAGAAAUCCAGAUGAUGUUUUCCCAGUUUGUGGGAAUCUCAUGAGAAGGCCAGUGCUUCUCAUCUUGAAAGGGGAUGUGAUGGCUUCCAGGCACAUGGGACCAACUCCUUGCUCCGGUCUGAAAAGACACACGUCGCCUUCCCUUCCCGGAAGCUCGCAGGCCUCUGUGCCUCCUGGGCUGGUUCUCAAGCCCAGGACAGUGCCAAGAGGAUGAGCCCCAGGCCUUCUGCACAGCAAGACCCCUGGACUCCCCCACCAUGGAGCCCUGGGGCGGGCUGGUCUGCAGAGCAGCGGCCUGGGACCUGCACUUUAAGAAGCGCUGUCUGAUUUGAGUGGUGCUUAACAAAGCAGUAUGAGGAAGGAGCAAUGACAGGGGAGGACUCAUGGUCAAGCCACACAGCAGGGGCAGGAAGCCCGCGGCCCUUGCUGUGAGAAGAGCUCAGAUCAUUUUCACGUGCUGCUGUGACAGGCAGAGGAGGCUUAAGAAUAAUAGGAGUUUUGGAAGACAGAUUUGAUGGCAUACCCAAUAUAAGAAAUGGAUUAUGAGUAGGUGUAAAAUUGUCAUCUUUACUCUCUGUGUGCUUUCAGUUUACUCAAGGUCUUAGGCAAUGUCUUAACUACAAUUCCAGUUUUUCUCUCUCUGAGAAUGGAUUGCUUUGGCUGGGGAUUACUCACGGUGAACUUGCUUUGCGGGGAGAGUUGCCGACUGUCUUAAUUACAUUUUGAAAAACACAACAACUUGGGGUUAAACUGGAGAAGUUAAUGAUGAAUGCAGUCUGGGGUUCUUCCCCGGCUGCCUUCCCCUGCAGCCGCCCUGGAGGAGGCUGGCUGGCUCGCUCGCUCAGGAGUCCUCAGCGAUUCUUCUUUAUUCAGACAAAGGGACCUAAACUCUGCAGCCAAUGUUGCAGGACCCAAGUGGUCUGUCUCUGCCACCACCUCCUGCUCCCGAUGGCAAAUAAACAGGACAAAAGGAA
rnacentral:lncRNA from 1 species